AAUUGAUCUUACAGAGACCAAAAUCUGUCCAUUCCAAAAGACACCAAAAUUGCUGAGCAGUCGGAUUGCACGACCAUUUUAUACAAACUGGAGCAGAGAGAAAUCUGGAUGAACAUCAUGGGGCAGUUUCAGCAUGGGGAGGAGAGUUUUUGAGUGAAGGUCCUCGGAUUGUGAAUACAUUGUGCACUAUGACAAAGCUGCUUCACUGGGCUUCCUAACGCCUUCCUGUACUACUGGUGACCAUAUUCUGCGGAGAAGGUCUUCACUGGAGAUGGUAUGAAGGAGAGCUUAUCCAGGUACUGCUUCUUUUCCAAUUACUUGGGAGGAGGGAUGCCUCACUGACUGAACUACAGGAAUAAUUGAACAGUUUUAAGAAGAGGAUUGUUGUUUUGAUUCUAUGUGUAUUUCAAGUCCAUGACUUCAUAAACAGUAAACAAUUCAAGGUGCGUCAUGUAAAGCCCCUGGAGUAUGAGCAGGAGGACUUGUAUGGAUAAAGUUCUCUGUUAACUCCUUCUUCACCCUCUGUUGCAGACUUUGAAUUGACUGAACCAGAUCUGCAGGCUCUAACCUUUUCCAGCAGCAGCAUCACAAAG
rnacentral:lncRNA from 1 species